UUUGUUUAUAAGACUCAUCUACUAAUCCAUGCCCUGUUAAAUGAAUGAUUUGAUAAUCAUGUAGUAAAGCUUCAAGAUUUUCUCUAAUAAUAUCAUUUAAUUUUUUACUACCUAGGCUACCACCCAUAACAAGUAAUACUUUUUUAUCUGAAUCAAACCCUGUUAUUUCAUAACC
rfam:Staphylococcus sp. HMSC078E07 Staphylococcus_spHMPREF2905-1.0_Cont124.2, whole genome shotgun sequence.